AUUUACAGUUAGGAACUGAAGACAGCUCUAACAGGUUGAUAAGCUAUAGGAAGGCCAUUCCUGCACAGUCUCUGGGUGAUCGGCCUCCUGCAGAGCCUGAGGUGGUACAGAGGUCUGUGGCUGGUGUUGCACAGAGAGGCCCUUCCUCCCUGCUGGGCUUCCCUGAGGCAGAGAAGAGGUGAGGCCUGAGUACUGGAAGGUGAGUGUCCAUCCCCACCCCCUCACUUUCAGGCUGGAAGAGCAGACCAAGCGCCUGCAGAAGGACAUGAAGAAAAGCACCGAUGCCGACCUGGCCAUGUCCAAAUCUGCUGUGAAGAUAUCCCUGGACCUCCUCUCCAACCCGCU
rnacentral:lncRNA from 1 species